rnacentral:rRNA from 1 species
UUGUCUCAAAGAUUAAGCCAUGCAUGUCUCAGUACAAGCCGAAUUAAGGUGAAACCGCGAAAGGCUCAUUAAAUCAGUUAUGGUUCCUUAGAUCGUACCCACAUUUACUUGGAUAACUGUGGUAAUUCUAGAGCUAAUACAUGCAAACAGAGCUCCAACCGGAAACGGAAGGAGCGCUUUUAUUAGAUCAAAACCAAUCGGUGGCGGUCUCCGUCAUCGUACAACUUGGUGAAUCUGAAUAACUUUACGCUGAUCGCACGGUCUCGCACCGGCGACGCAUCUUUCAAAUGUCUGCCUUAUCAACUGUCGAUGGUAGGUUCUGCGCCUACCAUGGUUGUAACGGGUAACGGGGAAUCAGGGUUCGAUUCCGGAGAGGGAGCCUGAGAAACGGCUACCACAUCCAAGGAAGGCAGCAGGCGCGCAAAUUACCCACUCCCGGCACGGGGAGGUAGUGACGAAAAAUAACGAUACGGGACUCAUCCGAGGCCCCGUAAUCGGAAUGAGUACACUCUAAACCCUUUAACGAGGAUCAAUUGGAGGGCAAGUCUGGUGCCAGCAGCCGCGGUAAUUCCAGCUCCAAUAGCGUAUAUUAAAGUUGUUGCGGUUAAAAAGCUCGUAGUCGAAUCUGUGUCCCGCGCCGCCGGUUCAUCGUUCGCGGUGUUAACUGGCGUGCCGCGGGACGUCCUGCCGGUGGGCUUAGCUCGAGAGGGCGGCCCAACUCAAUCCCGCCGCGGUGCUCUUCAUUGAGUGUCGAGGUGGGCCGGCACGUUUACUUUGAACAAAUUAGAGUGCUUAAAGCAGGCUAAAACUUCGCCUGAAUACUGUGUGCAUGGAAUAAUGGAAUAGGACCUCGGUUCUAUUUUGUUGGUUUUCGGAACCCCGAGGUAAUGAUUAAUAGGAACGGAUGGGGGCAUUCGUAUUGCGACGUUAGAGGUGAAAUUCUUGGAUCGUCGCAAGACGGACAGAAGCGAAAGCAUUUGCCAAAAACGCUUUCAUUGAUCAAGAACGAAAGUUAGAGGUUCGAAGGCGAUCAGAUACCGCCCUAGUUCUAACCAUAAACGAUGCCAGCUAGCGAUCCGCCGACGUUCUUCCGAUGACUCGGCGGGCAGCUUCCGGGAAACCAAAGCUUUUGGGUUCCGGGGGAAGUAUGGUUGCAAAGCUGAAACUUAAAGGAAUUGACGGAAGGGCACCACCAGGAGUGGAGCCUGCGGCUUAAUU